rnacentral:rRNA from 1 species
GACGAACGCUGGCGGCGUGCUUAACACAUGCAAGUCGUACGGUAAGGCCCUUUCGGGGGUCCACGAGUGGCGAACGGGUGAGUAACACGUGAGUAACCUGCCCACAACUUUGGGAUAACGCUAGGAAACUGGUGCUAAUACUGGUUAUGUGCUCCUGCUGCAUGGUGGGGGUUGGAAGGCUCCGGCGGUUGUGGAUGGACUCGCGGCCUAUCAGCUUGUUGGUGGGGUAGUGGCCUACCAAGGCGGCGACGGGUAGCCGGCCUGAGAGGGUGACCGGCCACAUUGGGACUGAGAUACGGCCCAGACUCCUACGGGAGGCAGCAGUGGGGAAUAUUGCACAAUGGGCGCAAGCCUGAUGCAGCAACGCCGCGUGCGGGAGGACGGCCUUCGGGUUGUAAACCGCUUUCAGCAGGGACGAAGCUUUUUGUGACGGUACCUGCAGAAGAAGCACCGGCUAACUACGUG